GACCAUACCACUUGGUAAAAAACAACAAAAUUUUAAAGGCGUUGGUAAUGAAAUUGAAGACGACUUUACAAAAAGCAAAGGA
rnacentral:sRNA from 1 species